AAUGGGUCAGCGACUUAUAUUCUGUAGCAAGGUUAACCGUAUAGGGGAGCCGUAGGGAAACCGAGUCUUAACCGGGCGUUAAGUUGCAGGGUAUAGACCCGAAACCCGGUGAUCUAGCCAUGGGCAGGUUGAAGGUUGGGUAACACUAACUGGAGGACCGAACCGACUAAUGUUGAAAAAUUAGCGGAUGACCUGUGGCUGGGGGUGAAAGGCCAAUCAAACCGGGAGAUAGCUGGUUCUCCCCGAAAGCUAUUUAGGUAGCGCCUCGUGAAUUCAUCUCCGGGGGUAGAGCACUGUUUCGGCUAGGGGGCCAUCCCGGCUUACCAACCCGAUGCAAACUGCGAAUACCGGAGAAUGUUAUCACGGGAGACACACGGCGGGUGCUAACGUCCGUCGUGAAGAGGGAAACAACCCAGACCGCCAGCUAAGGUCCCAAAGUCAUGGUUAAGUGGGAAACGAUGUGGGAAGGCCCAGACAGCCAGGAUGUUGGCUUAGAAGCAGCCAUCAUUUAAAGAAAGCGUAAUAGCUCACUGGUCGAGUCGGCCUGCGCGGAAGAUGUAACGGGGCUAAACCAU
rnacentral:rRNA from 2 species